UCCACUGCUGGUGAGAAUGUAAAUUAGUACAACCACUAUGGAAAACAAUGCAGAGAUUUCUCAAAGAACUAAAAGUAGAACUACCAUAGCAUCCAGCAAUGCCACUACUGGGUAUUUAUUCAAAGGAAAAGAAAUCAGUAUAUUAAAAAGAUACCUGUACUUCUUUAUCAAAGCACUAUUCAUAAUAGCAAAGAUAUGGCAUCAACCUAAGUGUCCAUCAGUAAAUGAAUGGAUAAAGAAAAUGUAGUAUAUAUAUAUAUAUAUAUAUAUAUAUAUAUAUAUAUAUAUAUAUAUAUAUAUAUACACACACACACACACAUAUAUAUAUAUAUAUACACACACAAUGGAAUACUAUUCGGCCAUAAAAAGAAUGAAAUAAUGUCAUUUGAAAGCAAUCUCUUUUCUGCUCUCUUCACUCCUACAACAAAUACAGUGAACUGAGGAUGAGGUUGGGGGAGGGGAAGAAGGAGAGGAGCAGGGCUGGUGCUUAUCUGGGAAGCGCAGAAGAUGUCUUCGGGCUGCAGGCAGCAGUUUCUGUAGAUCUAAGUGCUGGCCAGGGGCUUCCCAAGGCAGCUGUGGUCUAAGCUACUGAUUUGCUGUAUCAGCGAUCUGCCACCUUCCUUCCCCUUGUUUUCUUGCCCUCUGCCUCAGCCUUGCUCCUCUCUCCCCAACCUCCCUUCUCAGCUCUGCUCCUCUCUGUCUGCUUCCUCAGUAGGGAUAUGGCAGUGGCCACAGCCUCUGCACUGAGGAGAGAACUUGUCAACAUGUUUUUUGCUCCAGUAGGAGCUCGUUCAUCUGUGGCCAAGAUCAGACCUUGGCUCAGUGGCAUGGGCUGCUUAGUGCACCUACCCUGAUGUAAUUCCUCCCUCUGUCCAUCUUCCCUGCUCCCACCUUCCUUUGAGCCAUCAUCAGCUAUCACCUUGACUCCUGCAAUAACUUUCUAAAUGGCUCUCCUCCAAUACAUUCUUUUCACAGGGCAGUAUUUUAAAAACAUAAAUCAGAAUACACUCCCUUAUUAAAAACCUUUCAGUGACUUCCCAUAGCACUUAGAAUAAACAUAAACUCCUUAACGUGGCCCUGUGUGAUUGGUCUCUUCCAAUCUCUCGUAGCCUCUUUUUAUUUAUUUAUUUAUUUAUUUAUUUAUUUUUUAUUGAUCAUUCUUGGGUGUUUCUCGCAGAGGGGUAUUUGGCAGGGUCAUAGGACAAUAGUGGAGGGAAGGUCAGCAGAUAAACAAGUGAACAAAGGUUUUCCUAGGCAGAGGACCCUGCGGCCUUCCGCAGUGUUUGUGUCCCUGGGUACUUGAGAUUAGGGAGUGGUGAUGACUCUUAACGAGCAUGCUGCCUUCAAGCAUCUGUUUAACAAAGCACAUCUUGCACCGCCCUUAAUCCAUUUAACCCUGAGUGGACACAGCACAUGUUUCAGAGAGCACAGGGUUGGGGGUAAGGUCACAGAUCAACAGGAUCACAAGGCAGAAGAAUUUUUCUUAGUACAGAACAAAAUGAAAAGUCUCCCAUGUCUACCUCUUUCUGCACAGACACGGCAACCAUCCGAUUUCUCAAUCUUUUCCCCAUCUUUCCCCCCUUUCUAUUCCACAAAACCGCCAUUGUCAUCAUGGCCCGUUCUCAAUGAGCUGUUGGGUACACCUCCCAGAUGGGGUGGUGGCCGGGCAGAGGGGCUCCUCACUUCCCAGUAGGGGCGGCCGGGCAGAGGCGCCCCUCACCUCCCGGACGAGGCGGCUGGCCGGGCGGGGGGCUGACCCCCCCACCUCCCUCCCGGACGGGGCGGCUGGCCGGGCAGAGGGGCUCCUCACUUCCCAGUAGGGGCGGCUGGGCAGAGGCGCCCCUCACCUCCUGGAUGGGGCGGCUGGCCGGGCGGGGGGCUGACCCCCCCACCUCCCUCCCGGACGGGGCGGCUGGCCGGGCGGGGGGCUGACCCCCACACCUCCCUCCCGGACGCGGUGGCUGCCGGGCGGAGACGCUCCUCACUUUCCAGACUGGGCAGCCAGGCAGAGGGGCUCCUCACGUCCCAGACGAUGGGCGGCCAGGCAGAGACGCUCCUCACUUCCCAGACGGGGUGGCGGCCGGGCAGAGGCUGCAAUCUCGGCACUUUGGGAGGCCAAGGCAGGCGGGUGGGAGGUGGAGAUUGUAGCCAGCCAAGAUCACGCCACUGCGCUCCAGCCUGGGCACCAUUGAGCACUGAGUGAACCAGACUCCAUCUGCAAUCCCGGCACCUCGGGAGGCCGAGGCUGGCGGAUCACUCGCGGUUAGGAGCUGGAGACCAGCC
rnacentral:lncRNA from 1 species